AAUUGGUUUGCAUUGUAUUACUAUGUAUGUUCUUACAAAAAGUAGCACAGUGCUUAAGGACUACUUUCUAUUGUUGUACUCAAGUUCUUACUAGAAACUUUCCAUUGGUGAGAAGGGAUAAAGAGUGAAUGCCAGUGCCAAAAUUCAACACAGGUCUUUAAUGACAGAGCUAAGUACAGAAAUUUGAAAUCUUCUAAUGUUGACAGUUGUACUCAGACCACAUCUUUAUCUUAAGCUAUGGUAUUAAUAAUGCAUCUUUGUUGUUUAUUUAUGGGCUUGUUUUUCCCCCCUCCUCCCACUCCUUCCCCCCACCCCUCCCUUUUUUUUUUUUUUUUUUUUUUUUCUUUUUUUUUUUUUUUUUUUCUUCCCAGUAUUACCUUUGAGUAAUUGCCAGGAAUCUCACUCUACAGUCUGGAGAGACAACAGAAUCUGUGUUCUGCAAUUAAAACUUAGGGAGUUUUUAACGAGAGUUCUGAGGCUGAUUCACAGUUCAAAGUUAGGCAGCCCAGUUUCUUUUUACUUUCCUUUUUUUUUUUUUUUCUUUUUUUCCCCCCCCCCUCUACAUUUCCUUUCCCUUCCCUUCCCUUCUCCUUCCCUUCCCUUCCCUUCCCUUCCCUUCCCUUCCCUUCCCUUCCCUUCCUCCUUUCCCUUCCCUUCGUCCUUCCCUUCCCUUCUCAUUUUUCCAUUUUUCCCCUUUCCUUCCCCUUUUUCCCCUUUUUCCCCAUUUUUCCCUUUUUCCCCUUUUUCUCCCCUUUUUCCCCCUUCUUUCCCCUUUCUUCCCCCUUUUUCCCCUUUUUCCCUUUUCCUUUUUCCUCUUUCUUCCUCCUUUUUCCUCCUUUUUCCUUUUCUUUCCUUUUUUCCCGCUCCUUUUUUCCCCUUUUUCUCCCUUUUUCCCCUUUUUCCCCUUUUCCCCUUUUUUUUCCCCUUUUUUCCCAUUUUCCUCCUUUUCCCCUUUUUCGCCUUUUUCCUUCCCUUCCCCUUUCCCUUUUUCCCUUUCCUUUUUUCCCUUUCCCUUUUUCUCUUCCUUUUUCC
rnacentral:lncRNA from 1 species